rnacentral:rRNA from 1 species
GACGAACGCUGGCGGCGUGCUUAACACAUGCAAGUCGAGCGAGAAGACGUAGCAAUACGUUUGUAAAGCGGCGAACGGGUGAGGAAUACAUGGGUAACCUACCCUCGAGUGGGGAAUAACUAGCCGAAAGGUUAGCUAAUACCGCGUACGCUCCUUGGACUUCGGUUCAGGGAGGAAAGCGAUACCGUGGGUAUCGCGCUCUUGGUUGGGCUCAUGUCCUAUCAGCUUGUUGGGAGGUAACGGCUCACCAAGGCUUCGACGGGUAGCUGGUCUGAGAGGACGAUCAGCCACACUGGCACUGCGACACGGGCCAGACUCCUACGGGAGGCAGCAGUAAGGAAUAUUGCGCAAUGGGCGAAAGCCUGACGCAGCGACGCCGCGUGGGGGAUGAAGGUCUUCGGAUUGUAAACCCCUUUCGGGAGGGAAGAUGGAACGAGCAAUCGUUCGGACGGUACCUCCAGAAGCAGCCACGGCUAACUUCGUGCCAGCAGCCG